rnacentral:rRNA from 1 species
GAGUAACACGUGACUAACCUACCCUCGAGCGGGGAAUAACCUCGGGAAACCGGGGCUAAUACCGCAUAACAUCUUCUGGCUGAGAUGCCGGUUGAUCAAACCAGCAAUGGGCUUGAGGAGGGGGUCGCGGCUGAUUAGCUAGUUGGUGAGGUAACGGCUCACCAAGGCGAUGAUCAGUAGCCGGCCUGAGAGGGCGCACGGCCACACUGGAACUGAAACACGGUCCAGACUCCUACGGGAGGCAGCAGUGGGGAAUUUUGCGCAAUGGGGGAAACCCUGACGCAGCAACGCCGCGUGGAGGAUGAAGUCCCUUGGGACGUAAACUCCUUUCGAUCGGGACGAUAAUGACGGUACCGGAAGAAGAAGCCCCGGCUAACUUCGUGCCAGCAGCCGCGGUAAUACGAGGGGGGCAAGCGUUGUUCGGAAUUAUUGGGCGUAAAGGGCGCGUAGGCGGUGCGGUAAGUCUGAUGUGAAAUCUCCGGGCUCAACUCGGAGUCUGCAUCAGAAACUGCCGUGCUCGAGUGUGGGAGAGGUGAGUGGAAUUCCCGGUGUAGCGGUGAAAUGC